GAUGAACGCUAGCUAUAGGCUUAACACAUGCAAGUCGAGGGGAAACGGCAUUAUGUGCUUGCACAUUUUGGACGUCGACCGGCGCACGGGUGAGUAUCGCGUAUCCAACCUGCCCUUUACUUGGGGAUACCCCGUUGAAAGACGGCCUAAUACCCGAUGUAAUUCAUUGAUGGCAUCAGAUAUGAAUAAAAGAUUUAUCGGUAAAGGAUGGGGAUGCGUCUGAUUAGCUUGUUGGUGAGGUAACGGCUCACCAAGGCGACGAUCAGUAGGGGUUCUGAGAGGAAGGUCCCCCACAUGGGAACUGAGACACGGUCCAAACUCCUACGGGAGGCAGCAGUGAGGAAUAUUGGUCAAUGGGCGCAAGCCUGAACCAGCCAAGUAGCGUGCAGGAAGACGGCCCUAUGGGUUGUAAACUGCUUUUAUACGAGAAUAAUUUGAUGCACGUGUGCGUUAUUGCAUGUAUCGGAUGAAUAAGGACCGGCUAAUUCCGUG
rnacentral:rRNA from 1 species